CAGAGGUAGCCUAAUGGGGCCCUGCUGCUUGAGUUCUAAUCCCAGCCCCACCAGUUGUUGGCUAUUUGGCCCUGGGCAGGCACACCAGAAGACUACAUUUCCUAGCCCCCCACCCCCUUGCAGUGUCUGGGACCAUGUGACUCCUUAAUUAGGUCACUUCUCUCUCCUGGGAGGCCCUCUCUGCCCUCUCUAAGUCUAACUAGUGGCAAAGGAUCUAAGGGAAGAAACCUGGCAGAGUUACUAGUCCCAAGAAGCCUGGGUCCCUGAAUCACCACAUGGAAGUCUACGCGCCCACCACCUGAAUGGACUAAGGAAGCUGCAGGAUGAAGACAACAGCAUCACAAGGAGGAAGCCAGGAUCCCUGUGUUACCACAAGGAGGAGAGAUGCCUAACCAAGACCGUCUGCAAGGAUUUUGUGUGAGCCAGAAGCAGAGCUGUAUGGUGUUCAGCCACUGAGAUUUGAGGGCUGUUUGUUACAGCAGUUGACCUAUCCUGACUGACACAUCACAUCAUUCCUUUCCCCACCAUGUGUCUAACAUGCUACCAAAUUGAAUUUUAAGUAAAUUAGUACUUAUAAAUUAAGUACAAAUGCUUUUCAAAUUCACAUGAAUCUUUGGUAAAUAAAACUGGUUGUAAAAUUA
rnacentral:lncRNA from 1 species